rnacentral:misc_RNA from 1 species
GUACUCCUUCUCCUAACAAUAAUUUGAGUGGAAUUAGUCAACAAGGAGAAGUGAUUGUACAUAGAGUGAAGAAAGAGGAAGUUGAAUCAAAGAUUAGUGCAUGGCAAACUGCAAAAAUUGCAAAGAUUAAUAAUAGGUUUAAGUGUGAAGAUGCUGUGAUUAAUGGAUGGGAAAAUGAAGAAGUCCAAAAGGCUACUUCAUGGAUGAAGAAAGUUGAGAGGAAGUUAGA